CGGCGAUGUCCGAAUGGGGAAACCCAGUGCAAUUCGUUGCACUAUCGUUAACUGAAUACAUAGGUUAACGAGGCGAACCGGGGGAACUGAAACAUCUAAGUACCCCGAGGAAAAGAAAUCAACCGAGAUUCCCCCAGUAGCGGCGAGCGAACGGGGAGCAGCCCAGAGUCUGAAUCAGCUUGUGUGUUAGUGGAACGGUCUGGAAAGUCCGACGGUACAGGGUGAUAGUCCCGUACACCAAAAUGCACAGGUUGUGAACUCGAAGAGUAGGGCGGGACACGUGGUAUCCUGUCUGAAUAUGGGGGGACCAUCCUCCAAGGCUAAAUACUCCUGACUGACCGAUAGUGAACCAGUACCGUGAGGGAAAGGCGAAAAGAACCCCGGCGAGGGGAGUGAAAAAGAACCUGAAACCGUGUACGUACAAGCAGUGGGAGCACCUUCGGGUGUGACUGCGUACCUUUUGUAUAAUGGGUCAGCGACUUAUAUUCUGUAGCAAGGUUAACCGUAUAGGGGAGCCGCAGGGAAACCGAGUCUUAACUGGGCGUUAAGUUGCAGGGUAUAGACCCGAAACCCGGUGAUCUAGCCAUGGGCAGGUUGAAGGUUGGGUAACACUAACUGGAGGACCGAACCGACUAAUGUUGAAAAAUUAGCGGAUGACUUGUGGCUGGGGGUGAAAGGCCAAUCAAACCGGGAGAUAGCUGGUUCUCCCCGAAAGCUAUUUAGGUAGCGCCUCGUGAAUUCAUCUUCGGGGGUAGAGCACUGUUUCGGCUAGGGGGUCAUCCCGACUUACCAACCCGAUGCAAACUACGAAUACCGAAGAAUGUUAUCACGGGAGACACACGGCGGGUGCUAACGUCCGUCGUGAAGAGGGAAACAACCCAGACCGCCAGCUAAGGUCCCAAAGUCAUGGUUAAGUGGGAAACGAUGUGGGAAGGCACAGACAGCCAGGAUGUUGGCUUAGAAGCAGCCAUCAUUUAAAGAAAGCGUAAUAGCUCACUGGUCGAGUCGGCCUGCGCGGAAGAUGUAACGGGGCUAAACCAUGCACCGAAGCUGCGGCAGCGACACUAUGUGUUGUUGGGUAGGGGAGCGUUCUGUAAGCCUGCGAAGGUGACCUGUGAGGGUUGCUGGAGGUAUCAGAAGUGCGAAUGCUGACAUAAGUAACGAUAAAGCGGGUGAAAAGCCCGCUCGCCGGAAGACCAAGGGUUCCUGUCCAACGUUAAUCGGGGCAGGGUGAGUCGACCCCUAAGGCGAGGCCGAAAGGCGUAGUCGAUGGGAAACAGGUUAAUAUUCCUGUACUUGGUGUUACUGCGAAGGGGGGACGGAGAAGGCUAUGUUAGCCGGGCGACGGUUGUCCCGGUUUAAGCAUGUAGGCUGGUUGUCCAGGCAAAUCCGGAUAAUCAAGGCUGAGGUGUGAUGACGAGGCACUACGGUGCUGAAGUAACAAAUGCCCUGCUUCCAGGAAAAGCCUCUAAGCAUCAGGUAACAUCAAAUCGUACCCCAAACCGACACAGGUGGUCAGGUAGAGAAUACCAAGGCGCUUGAGAGAACUCGGGUGAAGGAACUAGGCAAAAUGGUGCCGUAACUUCGGGAGAAGGCACGCUGGUGUGUAGGUGAAGUCCCUGCGGAUGGAGCUGAGACCAGUCGAAGAUACCAGCUGGCUGCAACUGUUUAUUAAAAACACAGCACUGUGCAAACACGAAAGUGGACGUAUACGGUGUGACGCCUGCCCGGUGCCGGAAGGUUAAUUGAUGGGGUUAUCCGUAAGGAGAAGCUCUUGAUCGAAGCCCCGGUAAACGGCGGCCGUAACUAUAACGGUCCUAAGGUAGCGAAAUUCCUUGUCGGGUAAGUUCCGACCUGCACGAAUGGCGUAAUGAUGGCCAGGCUGUCUCCACCCGAGACUCAGUGAAAUUGAACUCGCUGUGAAGAUGCAGUGUACCCGCGGCAAGACGGAAAGACCCCGUGAACCUUUACUAUAGCUUGACACUGAACAUUGAGCCUUGAUGUGUAGGAUAGGUGGGAGGCUUUGAAGCGUGGACGCCAGUCUGCGUGGAGCCAACCUUGAAAUACCACCCUUUAAUGUUUGAUGUUCUAACGUUGGCCCCU
rnacentral:rRNA from 1 species